GCCCGGGUGGCGAAAUCUCAGGUAGCCGCGAGGGGCUUAAACCCCCUGGGUCCUUCGGGACCGUGUGGGUUCGAAUCCCACCCCGGGCA
rnacentral:tRNA from 1 species